rnacentral:rRNA from 1 species
CUAGAUUGCGUGGAGCCGUCCUUGAAAUACCACCCUUGUAGUGUUGAUGUUCUAACGUCGACCCCUUAUCGGGGUUGCGGACAGUGCCUGGUGGGUAGUUUGACUGGGGCGGUCUCCUCCCAAAGCGUAACGGAGGAGCACGAAGGUGGGCUAAUCACGGUUGGACAUCGUGAGGUUAGUGCAAUGGCAUAAGCCCGCUUGACUGCGAGAAUGACAAUUCGAGCAGGUGCGAAAGCAGGUCAUAGUGAUCCGGUGGUUCUGAAUGGAAGGGCCAUCGCUCAACGGAUAAAAGGUACUCCGGGGAUAACAGGCUGAUACCGCCCAAGAGUUCAUAUCGACGGCGGUGUUUGGCACCUCGAUGUCGGCUCAUCACAUCCUGGGGCUGAAGUCGGUCCCAAGGGUAUGGCUGUUCGCCAUUUAAAGUGGUACGCGAGCUGGGUUUAGAACGUCGUGAGACAGUUCGGUCCCUAUCUGCCGUGGGCGUUGGAGAAUUGAAAGGGGCUGCUCCUAGUACGAGAGGACCGGAGUGGACGAACCUCUGGUGUUCGGGUUGUGUCGCCAGACGCAUUGCCCGGUAGCUAAGUUCGGGAUCGAUAACCGCUGAAAGCAUCUAAGCGGGAAGCGAGCCUUGAGAUGAGUUCUCCCUGAUACUUUAAGUAUCCUAAAGGGUUGUCGUAGACUACGACGUUGAUAGGCAGGGUGUGUAAGCGUUGUGAGGCGUUGAGCUAACCUGUACUAAUUGCCCGUGAGGCUUAACCAUACAACACCCAAGGGGUUU